rnacentral:misc_RNA from 1 species
UCGAGGCUAAAUCUACUUGUAUAUAAUAUAAGAAAAAACAAUAAAAUUACAUCCUUCACAGCUGCACAACACAAAUGAUGGCUCCAAAAACAAACAAUUUGAUUAUCAUAAUUCAAAUGAAUCAAACAGAAAAUCCAUGAUCAUACAAUUAGUAACAGUUGAUGAUUCUAUGAAGGAUGAGGGGGAGGGGAGAAGGGUGAAGGUUUUG